CCUACGGGGCGCAGCAGUCGAGAAUCAUUCACAAUGGGGGAAACCCUGAUGGUGCGACGCCGCGUGGGGGAAUGAAGGUCUUCGGAUUGUAAACCCCUGUCAUGUGGGAGCAAAUUAAAAAGAUAGUACCACAAGAGGAAGAGACGGCUAACUCUGUGCCAGCAGCCGCGGUAAUACAGAGGUCUCAAGCGUUGUUCGGAAUCACUGGGCGUAAGGCGUGCGUAGGCUGUUUCGUAAGUCGUGUGUGAAAGGCGCGGGCUCAACCCGCGGACGGAACAUGAUACUGCGAGACUAGAGUAAUGGAGGGGGAACCGGAAGUCUCGGUGUAGCAGUGAAAUGCGUAGAUAUCGAGAGGAACACUCGUGGCGAAGGCGGGUUCCUGGACAUUAACUGACGCUGAGGCACGAAGGCCAGGGGAGCGAAAGGGAUUAGAUACCCCUGUAGUC
rnacentral:rRNA from 1 species